rnacentral:rRNA from 1 species
UACGGAAGGGGCUAGCGGUGUUCGGAAUUACUGGGCGUAAAGAGCGCGUAGGCGGCUUACCAAGUUGGGGGUGAAAUCCCGGAGCCCAACUCCGGAACUGCCUUCAAAACUGGUAGGCUCGAGUCCGGAAGAGGGGCGUGGAAUUCCCAGUGUAGAGGUGAAAUUCGUAGAUAUUGGGAAGAACACCGGUGGCGAAGGCGGCGCCCUGGUCCGGUACUGACGCUGAGGUGCGAAAGCGUGGGGAGCAAACAGG